rnacentral:misc_RNA from 1 species
GAUGAAGAACGCAGCGAAAUGCGAUACUUGGUGGGAAUUGCAGAAUCCCGUGAACCAUCGAGUCUUUGAACGCAAGUUGCGCCUCAAGCCAUUAGGUUGAGGGCACGUCUGCCUGGGCGUCACAUAUCGUUGCCUGAUGCCAGUUUCCUCGUGAUGGGUGACUGUGCAGGGCGAAUGAUGGCUUCCCGUGAGCAUUGUUGCCUCAUGGUUGGUUGAAAAUUGAGUCCUUGGUAGGGAGCGCCGUGAUAGAUGGUGGUUGAGUGACGAACGAGACCCAAUCAUGUGAGACCCCUACCGAAUUUGGCCUUCAUGACCCACAUGCGUCUUUGGAACGCUCAUGACGAGACCUCAGGUCAGGCGGGGCUACCCGCUGAGUUUAAGCAUAUCAAUAAGCGGAGGA